GACGAACGCUGGCGGCGCGCCCCCUUAUGCAAGUCGAACGAGAGAGAGGGAGCUUGCUUCCUCAAUCGAGGGGCGAACGGGUGAGUAACGCGGGAGGAACCUGCCUCAAAGAGGGGGACAACAGUUGGAAACGACUGCUAAUACCGCAUAACCCCACGGCUCGGCAUCGAGCAAAGGGAAAAGGAGCAAUCCGCUUUGAGAUGGCCUCGCGUCCAAUUAGCUAGUUGGGGAGGUAAUGGCCCACCAAGGCGACAAUCGGUAGCCGGACUGAGAGGUUGAACGGCCACAUUGGGACUGAAACACGGCCCAAACUCCUACGGGAGGCAGCAUUGGGGAAUAUUGCACAAUGGGGGAAACCCUGAUGCAGCGACGCCGCGUGGAGGAAGAAGGUCUUCGGAUUGUAAACUCCUGUUGUUGAGGAAGAUAAUGACGGUACUCAACAAGGAAGUGACGGCUAACUACGUG
rnacentral:rRNA from 1 species